AAAUGUUUUACGAUAUAUUUUUGAAAUAGUGUGACGUCGCUGGCAAGCAUAUUGGAAUAAUCAUAUUUUAUUUAUUUACGCAAGCGAAGAAGUAUCGACCUUAGUAAUGUUUUACGAAGAACAUACGAGGAAUUACAGGGCGAUCAAAGUGCGUGAUUCUUACUUGAACGAGAUGCGCAUCGUACUUGACCUACGACUUACGAUUACAUCAGGCAUCAUCAGUAGGAUCAAGCCACAAGGGAAAAUCAUCAUGAACACGAGCGAAUGCUCGAGGAGCCGCCUAUCGAAGGAUCUACGACGCAUUCUCCUUUAUUUUCCGUCAUAGUCGUCGUCGUCGUCGUCAUUGUUCUCGUCGUUAUCGAGUCGACCGAAAGAAGGGAAUCUGUCACGUUCGAAUUAAGAAUGAGACUCGAGUUCACGGCUUUGGGAGAGCGAUCGACGAUCGAGGAUCUGCAGGUUGGCUCAACGAGCAGGUAGGCUAGAAGGAGUAGUAUGAGGCACCCACCUAGGCACCUGCCAUUUCUGGCAUCGAGAUUGGCGCAUCCAUUUGUCUGGUUCUCCGUUGUUGGCCUUUGUACCUCAGGAUGAGAGACUCGUUCUACUUGUUGGCUACCAGUCCAAGGAUCACCUUCUGUGUCUACUACGUUCUGCCUUGCAUCAGUAGCCGUAUUGUCUUGAAUCUCCACCGGCUGGACAUUCGUCAAACCUGGUUUGUCCUUGUCUAAAUCCUCGUUGAAUUCCAAGGACGUCUCGGUACCGUAAAAUACCAGCUUCCACUCCUCAAGGGUAUCUAUAAUCAGCGUAAAAUCGUGUCAAUGAAAAACUUCACGAUGCCGUGAAUCGAUAAUGCCUUAUCGUACGAGACAGAGCAAUCUCCACUUACUGGAUAAUAUUAAUAAAAUAUUUUUCUUUACUAACUAGAUAAAUCUCGAGCGAGAUGAACGAUUUGAUAUCAAUGUUUACGUUUUUUCUAUUUGGCUUUUAUCCUGUUCCGAUUUUAUUUUUAUUUCGUUUCAUUAGUUUUUUCUCUCUUUUUCUUUUUUGUUUUUUUUUUGUCUAUUUCACGAUCGAUCGCGUAAAAUAAUAUGCGUAACAAGAGUCCCCAAAGACACCAUUGAUUUUAGCCUCAUCCGUUUGAAAUAUUUUCAUUCAAUUUGUAUCCCGCUUUCGAUCCCGAGCGUGACCGAUAAAUUUGAAACUCUGUCUCGCGUUAAGGUAAAUCGAUUCAGAUUGAUGCCUUGAUUAAAACAACGUAAUCGAUUUUCGAGUGCAAUCUACUGUUGGCAUACUCUUGCUGCUCGUUUUCUUCGAAAAAGUUUAUAUUAGGAAGUUUUGUGAACAUCAUUAAGGAUGAAUAGUAAAUACUUUGAAAUUCACAGUGGUAUCUUUGAAAUGUAUUUGAAUCGGACGAAAUCUCUUUCGCGAAGAAACGAGCAGUUUUGCAAAAACAAUAAAAGUACUACUUCGAAACGUAAGUACAUUAAUGAUACAAUCGAAAAGUAGUUUAGGUGGUUGACGUAAUGCAUGCGCAAGCAGGUUAAAAACUUGAUGAUUCAAGAUCUACCUGAAAUGCAUAAAAA